GGUAGCGUGUCUGAGUGGCCGAAAGAGCGCGCCUCGAAAGCGCGUGAGCGCACCUGUGCUCCGUGGGUUCAAAUCCCACCGCUACCG
rnacentral:tRNA from 2 species